rnacentral:misc_RNA from 1 species
UCCUGGUUUCCCAGGCAGUCCCGUCAGAGUGCCUUCUUACGAAGUAGCAACUGACAGCAAGGGUUGCGCUCGUUAUAGGACUUAACCCAACAUCUCACGACACGAGCUGACGACAGCCAUGCAGCACCUGUGCAUAUGUCUUGGGUUACCCCAAGAAAGCUCUAUCUCUAGAGAGGUCAUAUGCAUGUCAAACCUAGGUAAGGUUCCUCGCGUAACGUCGAAUUAAACCACAUGUUCCACCGCUUGUGCGGACCCCCGUCAAUUCCUUUGAGUUUUAAUCUUGCGACCGUACUCCCCAGGCGGAUCACUUAACGCGUUAGCUACGACACUAAUCCCGCAGAGCGGGACUAACGUCUAGUGAUCAUCGUUUACAGCGUGGACUAC